CCUUUCGGGCGGCGCGGCGCCCGCUGCCUGCAGGCCUUUGGCACCUCCCGGAGGCCCUGUCCCUCCCCGUGUGCCUGCGGACCUCCGCGUGCGUGCGGGGGGACGGGUCUGGGUGAUGAGCUUCCUCCCCGAUGGCGACUAGGGGCCGCCGAAACCCGCGAGAAACACGCCUGCGUGUGUUGGAAAAGUUUCGGGUCGGGAGGGAAGGCUGGGAGCCUCCUCUCCCGGCCCUCGGCGGGCGCGGCUUCUCCUCGCCGGCGGCUUUUGCUCCCGGUGCCCUCCUCCCUCCCAGCCAGCCCUUCCUUCUUCGCCUCGGCCCCGCGCUCGGUGUCGCGGCCUCUCGGGCCCGGAGACGACGUGCGCGAGAAGCGGCGGCCGGGGCGCCGCGCUGCGGACGGAGGUCCUUUCACCUUCCCUGUUUUAUAAAUGGCAAACCUUUCCUAAACAAGCUGUCCAUCCAACCGCCAAAACCACAGGACAAGAAUUUCUACUCAAGGGGGAAACAGCAAGAAAGAAAAAAAGGUCACCAUUCCUAGAGCAGAGUUGCUUCUGGGAAGCAAUUGCCUGGCCAGAGACUACAUUUCCCAGCCUCCCUUGCACGGAUGUGGGACUAUGGACUAGCUCUUAUCAGUGAAACAAGAGCAGAGCUGAAGAGGUGCUGUAUUCCAGGGACCAUGACACCUCACCUUCCGGCUCCUGCAUCCUUCCUGCAGUAUCUAAGGGGACAGUGAGUUUAGAUGCCACUGAUACAAUCCCAACAUCACAAAAUGGAAGGAGUUUGGGUUCCAGAGUAACCAGCCUCACAGGAGAGCUGCCAGACUUGCCUUGGACAGUGACACGAGGGAGAAACAAACGUAUAUGUGAGAUCGCUGAGGUCAUGUUACCGCGACUGAAGUAAGAUAAGGUGGUGUCCGGAGUAUGGGGUCUGGAGCUUGACUACCUGGAUUCAAAUCCCUGCUCAGUCAUCUCUUGGCUGUGUGACUUAAGGUAAGUUACUUACCCUCUCUGUGCCUCAAUGUCUUCAUCUGGUGGAUGGAGCUCACAGACUCUAGUCUGUCAUAGGGUAGCUGUGAAGAUUAGACGAGUCGAUGCAUGUAGAGAGCUUCUAACAGUGCUUGACCUUGAGCAGCCAUUCAGUACAUUAUACAUUAGCAAGGUGGGAUAAGGAAAUGGGGGUUUGGGAAGGUGAAUGGCUGACUCCAAAGCACUUACGUUGGGAUCCACAGUGGAAACUCUUCUAAUCUUUUAUCAACAACCAGAUGAGAAGAUACAUCUGCUUCUGCUUCUAAGAGUCGGUGAUUCUCAUCCUUCUCUCUGCACUUGCCCUUGCCGUGUCCUUGGUCAGCACAGAGGAAGGACAACAGCCCAUCUCCCUCACAUCGGAAGUGGCUCCACAAGUUGGCCUUCACUGCCAUCAACCCUAACAGGUGUGGUGCUCUAUCUCCACAGUCCUCCAGAGCGCCCUCAAGUCCCUCAGGGUGUCUUUACUCCAAGAAGGGGUUCUAGACUAGACAAGCAGAGGUGUUGCAGAAAGGAAGAUACUGCAAAGGAUUCAGGCAGCAAAGGGUGUGCUCCCCACACUGGGGAAGACAUCUGGGCAGAAGGGCCUGGGCUGGACCUCACAUCCAUCCCUCUUCCCUUGGGGUCCUUGACCACCCUUGAGAAUGGCACCUACAUGCUCUAAUUCUCCAUAAAAUCCAGAGGCAAAAUGUCCCUGCUGUAAAGACCUUGAACCCUUUUUGGGAAGGUUUUAUGAACUUAAUAUCAUGGGUUGCUCUAACCCCAACCUUUGUCCUGACAGCAUCUGCUCAGGGAGUUUGAGAUUCAGCCAGUCUGUAAAGAGCUUCAGAUCCAGGGCUUUGAGGUGGGGAGAAGUGGUCACCUUGGAGAAAGCAGGAAACUGUGGCCAGCUGGGGCAUUCUUUGCUAUAGAUUCCAAGAGACAAACUUGCUGAUCCCAGGUCAAGUCUGCCCCUGCUUCCCUGCAUCUAGAACCAUCUCUGGCUCCACCUCCCAUUAACACCCCAGAACAGAUUCCCUACCCACCUCCUCAAGAAGAACAUUGCCUCCGGGGAUUUUCUAAGAGUUUUUAGGAUAAGCAGCAGUUAGAAGCUAACAAUAAGUAAAAUUUCCAGAAAUCAAGAGAAACUUGCAAUGUUCCUUGACACUUUAAAUGAUGCACUUGAAACAAGAGGCUUACAUUAGGAUCUAAAUUAGAGUUCUUGAGUGGCUUUUUGUAUUUUUUCUUUCACGUUAACCUGACUACAACUUUAUCUUCUCCAUUCACUUCCAAGAAGUCCUUAUAUAAUAAAGAGUUGAAGGNGCCAAUAAAAAGUUGCUUCCAGAGUUAUAAAGUCAGUUUUCUUAACCUCUCAAUCUCAACUCAACUCAAAUUACAAAGUUUACAUGCCUUUGGGGAUGGCUGUAUUAAGUAAAUAGAGAGGAAUGGUCACAUUCAGUGUAAGCUAAAACACCCAAGGCUGGCAGUAGGAAAAGGAGCUACCUACCUAUCAGGUCUUUCAUAAAGCCAGUCCCUUAAGUAGAAAGAAUAAAGUUCUCUCAAGACUUACCCUAUGGACUGCCUUUCACAGCUGGUUCAUAUUUAUAAGCCAAUUUGU
rnacentral:lncRNA from 1 species